ensembl:lincRNA
AAGGAACUAAGAUCAUGCAGUGUUCCCAGCACUGGUUAAUAUUAGACUAACACCUGCCCCUUGGCACAUUCGAUUGAACUGUGUUGUGGGGGAGAUACUGUCCUCCCUAAGUUCCCUGAGGACACCACCAUGUCCUUCUUGCUUAGUUCCUGGUGGGUGCUGGGUGACAGCUCAUGGGAUGAAUGCGGUGCAGGCUGUGGUUGAAGGGCUGAUGAAGGGGUGACUGUGCCGGGACCCACCUGCCCUCCCCUCUAUCUCCCUGUGCCAUGCAGGUGUGGUCAAUGGGCUGAUGGGCACGACUGUGAGACCCCAUCAUUCCCCCAGCCCACAUGACUCUGCUCUCCCAGCUCGACUGUUCACUUCAGACUUCCCUUAUGGAAGGAGUUGCCAGAUAGAGCAAGCAAAAUAUAAUGUGCCAGGCUAAACAUGUAUCAUCUCCUCAUAGUUACUGAUGAAAUGAUGUUCUUUCUGGGAUGUUCUCAGAUUGAUGUGCUUCAAGUUGUGACACUGGACAGAAUAGGCUUUUUUGGGGAAAUGCAGCACAGGACUUGCGUUGACUCCAUUCAUGCUGAGUGCCUGGUGCAGGUUCCAGAUGAACUCUGGAGCUUUGCUGGGAACGAUGAGUGGCAGUCUCUGCUGGAGACUGGAAGCUGUGAAGCCACAGACACCUGCCCAGAAGCUGGGACAUGAGCUGGUGGUGCCUGAUCACAUUACCUACUUGACAAUUACAUUAAAUGAAUAUUUUUAAACAUUCAAAGAUGAAACGUUAAAAAUGCCAAUUAGAAUAACUUCAAAAGUUCUUAAGUCAGUGCCUGGUAGAAGGCCCAGCUUUAGAAAUUAUUCUAACUGUUCCUGUUGUAGCGGUCCAGACCGGCUCUGAGAGGAGCGCCUUCUCGCUUCUGAAUGUUCACCCUUGGGAGUAGUGGGUGCUGUCGGGGCAGCUAAUGCAGGCAAUUUUCUCUACCUGUAGAGACACAAAGAAGGGUGGAUUGAGGUGGGCGGGAGCCUAUGAGUGGAAAGGCAGGUGACUCAUCAGCUCCCCGGGAAAACGUGAUGUGUGCCAGCCAUUAAAGGUGCAUUUGCAGCAGGUGGAGAAGGCAACCUGAAUCUGCAGCUUGCAUUCAUUUCCAAGCAUGAGGGGGCGUUGACAGGAGCCUCUAAACACCUUGAAGCCAUUCAUUUCAAUCUAGAAAACAAGUGGGGACAUGUAGUUCCCUGAAAAGGUAACUGGCAACCUUUAGUGUCCGAUUCUUCCUUUGCCCACGUGUGAUGCAGCGACGGUGAGUGUGGGAGCGGACGUGGCUCCUUCACCUGAUGGCGCAUCACUGUGGGAAUGGCCUGGGCCUGGCUCUCCUUGUGAGUGCCCAGGCAAAGCUGGAGUCAUUCUGUGGGGAGAGCAGGUGCAGGAUGGGCUUUCAGAAUCAUUCAGGCCUUCUUCCUCUGUACGUGUG